rnacentral:lncRNA from 1 species
AUGGGGGCCUCCCUGGGGGCAGCACAGCGGUGGUCAGCCCCUUGCAGCAGGCAGAGUGCACGGGAGGGGCACACCCUUUCCAGAAGCUCGGUGGUGAAGGGGGGACAGGUGGGUGCCUGGGUCAGGGAGGGAUGUGGGUGGGGUCUCAGGGUGGGCAAAGGUCUCCAGGGAAAUCGGAGAGUCGGGAGGCCCCCUCCGCCCUGGAGAGGUGGAGGGUGGGGGAUGUGCGGGGUGGUGUGGGUGGGGAGCUCUUUGCUGAACAGUCUUGGGGGUCAGCUCAGCCCUCGGCCACAACCUGGGGACCCACAGCCCCCUCCCCACAGGAGCCCUGGGGCCCGAGAGCCCACGCAGCGAGGCGCCCACCUACGUGAACAUCCCUGCCAGCCCCUCCUCCAAAAAGCAGCUGCACUACAUGGGCCUGGAGCUCCAGGAGGCCAGCACGGGCGUCCGAGGGGCCGGCACCUCCCGCUACGCACAGAUCGACAUCACAGCCACCGAGGCGGCCCACAGGGCGGGCGCCCGGCACGCACAGAGCCGGGAGGAGCGGCUGCCCGAGCUGGAGCAGAGGAGGAAGGGGGCCCCGCCGUGAGCUGGCUGGACACCCCCUGCGACUGGACAACCCAACGUGGCCGAGUGGGCCGCCCCUUCGGUGGGCAAUAGCCAGGGGCACGAGGGGCCCCGCCUCUGCAUGGCCAUCUAGGCUCCGUGAUUCGUGGCCUCCUAGCCACAUGGUGGGCGCGGCUGGUCCCUGUGCCCUGGUGCGGCUGGUGGAAGGUUCCGGCCCUCCUCGCCUCGCUGGUCACUGGUGCCCAGAGCAGACCCUCCUUUGGCCUUAAUGAGCCACUCUGGACCUCAGGCGGGUGGGCGGGCCACGUGCCAGGUGUCAGGCAGCUUCUGGGUGGUUUCUUGUGGCAGCAGCUUGGCUGCAGCUGGCCGGGGGAUUGGGGAGCAGUUUCUGAGACUCUGGGAUGCCAACUGCUGUCCCCUUCUGGGGGAUGUGGCCACCCAACUGACGACAGACAUACAGACAUGUCCUGGCAAAAUGCACGUCCCCAAACUACAGCAGGGCUGGGCCAGUCCCCCACCCACACGGAGUGUCUGGCAGCUGUCGGCUCAGGGACCUCAGACCCCCGAUCGUGCCCUCUCUGUAGCGGCCUCCAGCCGUCCCCUCCUGGGUCACAGCCGCCCCAGCCCUGGGCGCGGGAGGGCUAUUCCACGUUCGGACCUGUCAGGCGCCCGCGUGGCCCCACACGUGUUUACCUGGCUGCAUCGCUUCUUGGGACCCAUCACAGUUAGUCAUGUAAAUAGUUUAAAAUCGUUAAUGCUCUAUUUUUAACACCACAUACUAUUUUCCUGAUGGAUGAGGUGUUUUCUCUUUCUUGCUCUGGGUCUGCAGAGGGCCGCGGCCCCGGGUGCGGUUCUGCUGUCUCUGACACGCUGGAGGGGCUCAGGGCCGGGGUCACCCCCCGUGGUGCUUCCUCCCGACCAUACCCGGGGCCUUGGGGGUGUCUCGAGGAUAUUUCCAUGACUCAGUGAUUGGGGCUGGGGGAAGGGGGUUGGCCCAGCUCCACUGGCUGAUGGGGGUCUGGACGCUGGGAAGUUUCCGGCAUUGGUGGUGGGCUUCCUGCUG